GUGUUAUGCUAUAUUUCUUUUUCUUUUUUUUUUUUUUUUUUUUUUUUUGGCGGUACCGGGGAGCUAUAUUUCUUUUGAAUCGUGUAUCUACAGAGGCUCUUUUUGGAAACUUCGUUGGAUACUCAGCACACAAUCAUAGCUGUUUUUUCAUUAAACACCACUCCUCUGCGUGAGGAAGAAACUAGACAUUCCUGGCCCAUGCGUUGGCAGGUCUCAAUCAAAAAUAUUCUGAUGCUGGCUUUCCAAAACCUAUGCCUGGUGUGGGUCUGACCUUCAAACCUUGCCGGGGCCACCAACAGGAAAGUGACUCUGGCUGGGCCCUGGUAGGGUGCCACUCUCAGGAAAACAUUUGCAGGAUCUCUGCAGGAAGCCAUGCUGAGGAAGCGCCUACUUCGGACAAGACUCUGGGGCAGAUGAGUAAAGGGGCAUGAGAAGCCCUGUUCUCCAUGUUCCAAGAACAGUGCUGCUUGUGAGGAAUGCAGAGAGUGGCGUGGAAAUGUGAAAGUAGGAAGAGACUUCCGGCUGCAGGUGAUGUGGAUCCCAGCUGAAGUUCAAAGGCAUUGAUCAAAGGGCAUAGAACUUUCUGUAACUUUCCCCUGAGAAGCUGAGGAUGUUCUGAACUGUAAGCAGUAGACUCUGUCUUAUGGAUGACGUCAAGUAUGGGAGCAAUAAGUGUUUGUUGAAUGAAUGAAUUAAUAAAUACAGACCACGCCAAAGACUUGGCAGUAUGUGAGGGAUCAAACUCAUGACCUCGUGCUUGCCAGUGAGGCGCUUAUACCACUGAGCUAAAUCCCCAACCUCUACAUGGAUGUUUUCAGCAGCUUUGUUUACCACUGCCAAAACCUGUAUGUAACCAAGAUGUCAUUCAGUGGAGUGGGUAACUGGACUGUGGUACAUAAAAUGGCAUCAUAUUCAAUGACAGAAAGAGGGGAUGAGCUAUCAAGUCACAAAGGAUGCGGAGGAACCAUGAAAGUGAAAGAAACCAACCUGCAAACUGUACAACUCUACGUGUACCCUAGUAAAGGCCAAACCGUGGAGGCUGCGAAGAGACCAGUGGUGGCCUAGUGUUCAGGAGGACAGAGGGAGGGUGGAGAACCUGGAAUUUGAGGGUCAGAGGAACUAGUCUUUGUCACAGCACAAAAUCCACAAAAGUUUCAACCCAAAAUGUGAGCCCUGAUGUAAGCUAUGAAUUUCAGUUUAUAAAAUGUAUCCAUGUUGGCUCAUCUUGGUAAAAAGUGCAAAGAGCAAGAUGUUAAUAACAGAGAGAAAUAAUGGGGGAGGCAUGAGUGCAUCCUUGGGAACACGCUGUACUUUCUACUCAAUUUUCCUGUAACCUAAAACUGCAUUUGUUUAGAAGUAAGAUUAUUUAAAAACAUAGGAGCAGGUAAUGCCCCUUGAGGAAUGAUCACCCUUUGGGGGUUUUAAUUGAUAUCCCAAUGAAGAGCAGGUUAGAUAGAGCUCCAUCCCUAGCUAGGUGCUCAGAUCUGGUUGUCCUUGAUGUCCCCAUGGCCUUUUCUUCCCACUGUGUUUUUGUAACAUUAUGCCAUUACAAGGGGUUAGCUCCCUGAACUCAUCUGUAUCAAGAAU